CAAGGAUGUUUUGAGAAUAGCUCCUUUCCCACCAAUCACCCAUUUAUUUGGCAAAUUACCCUCUUAGUUAAAAGGAAUUACUAAAAAGCCUGGUAGUCCUGAGCCAUCUUUGGAGUCUCCCCUGUGGUAUGGGUGCAUAGCCCAGGACCGUCCUGUUGGGACUCUGGUGGCUGAUCUCGGGACUCCCCAGCCACAAGAUCCAGAUGUAGAUGAUUCCCCUGAUGGUGACGAUCAAUUAUGGCGGAGUGGAUCAUUACCCAGGAGGUCUUUCAAAAAAGUCGACAUACUCCCCAUGGUUCACCUGCUCACUUGGAGGCAACCCACUAACCUGACCAGUUUUGUUUUGUACCUUAAGACAUUGAAAAUUAAAUGCCCUGAAUGAAGAGAAUCACAGACUCUCAGAAGCUAUCCAGUCCAAUCAAUAACUGACAUCCGACCUCUCCAUAACAAGCACAGAUUGGGGAAGAAAAAAAAACCCAUUGUCUUCAUGAUUAUUUGAUAUUGUGGUCAAGAGAUGACCUGUGAAAUAACAUCUGAUGACUUUUACAUUCAGCAGUGUGACAUUUGAAGUUUUUUUAUUAGUGUUUUAGAGAAGUUUUUUUUUCCCUGUACAGGUAUUGAUACUUUGCAUUUCUUCUCUUGAAAAUUGUUUGCUCCUAUCCUUUGACCACUGACUGAUGACUCUUGGUCAUAAACAUUUAUAUCAGUUCAUUUUUAUCUUGGAUAUCAUACCUCUAUGAGAGAUAUUUUGUGCAAAGUUUUCUCCCCCAAAGAGAAUGUUCUCUUCUCAUUUUGUUAACAUUGAUUUUG
rnacentral:lncRNA from 1 species